rnacentral:lncRNA from 1 species
AGUGUGUAACAUUGUAACAUUGAAGAGUAGUUUCUUGUCCCGGGAGGUCCUGCUGGGCAGUGCUGGGGCCAGGCCUGGGUUUCACUCUCCCUUGAAGGUUGUGAUGAUCCAGUCUGCUGGCAGAAAAGCUCCAACAUGCUGGGCAGGCAGGGCUUCCAGAAGCUGCGUGCUGGCUACACUCUAGGCUGCGACACUCCUGAUAAUCCCAAAGCUACUGGAUGAGAGGGAGUUUCACACGGCCUGUCAAAUCCACGGGAGAUUGGAUUGCCACCUGAUUGGGAUUCCGCUGUGUGGACAGAUCGCUGUGGAAGACUGUGGUGGUUCACAGCCUUUCCUCACAGAAGAACCGGGCAUCUCUGUCUCCACUUGCUCAGAUCUUCUUUUAUGCCGCAGUAGAGUUUACAGCCAUCCACAGCAUGGGUUCUGUCUGCGUGUCUGUUGGAUUUAUUUUCCUUAGGGGGCUUCAGCUUCUCUGGCCACUGUCAACAGGCAGCUGCUUUUACAUGGUAGAUUUGUAGGCCUGCCCUGCCCUGACUGCAUCAGUAAGCUCUCUUGAGUUUUCCUUGCUCCCCACACCCUCUGGUUCUCUAGACCUCAUUGUAUUCUCAGUGAGCCACAAUAUCAUUUGACCCGGUACCUGCAGUUUUUUUUUUUUAAUACUGUACUGACCUAGCUCCUUGUGAGGAUUAGAAGUGGGGUGUGGGUAUCCUCAUGUUGCUCCAACUUUAACGAGGUCCUCAGAUGCCGCUCAGAGCACAGCUUUCUCUGUUCCUACUUCCUAAGGAAUCCCCAGGCCGGCUGGGGUGAGUUAUCAAAUGCUACUUGGGUGUGUCCUAAACCUCUGCCUUUUCUACCUGAGUGAAUUAUAGCAACGACCUCAGUGGAUUCCGAACAUCAGGUGCCCAUGUAGUAAUUUCUGUCGUCAUCCUCCUCCCUCAGGGUCCUGGCUUCUCCAGGCUGACCCUACUUUCCCAAGCUCGUAUCUCCUUCUUACAAAUGUCUCAGCUUCGGCAGGUAGAGGGUGGUCCCUGCUCUGCCCGUGGUGCCUGGUUGCCUUUCUGGUGUCUAGAUGUAUACUUUCUACGAUGUGCACAUAUCCACUCACACGAGUUCAUGGGUUUGAAAGUUUACCCACGUGGCAAAGUGGCAGCGAUAGUGGCAGCUUCCUUUUUUUUUUUUUUUUCAAGCAACAUCCAACUUUCUUAGUGUGGUGGUUGAUGGCAAUCCAGCUAGCUUUAGCUGACUGGGUCAAGAAGGCAUGGCGUCUCAUCUCUUCCCAGGGAUGGGACUCUCAGCCUGUCUCUUCUGCCUGACGGGCAGCAAUGUCUGAUGCCCCGCUGCGUGUUUGCCACCUGGAGUCUGCGAAUGCAGGCCCUCAGGACAACACCCUCUGGCUGGGAGGGCAACCUUGGACCCUUGGGGUUCGUAUGGACAGAGCUCCGAACAGUUCUUGGUAGGUGACAGGUGUUUGGUGAACCCAACCCGCGAGCGUGCUGAACGAUCAUGAUUAAGAAGCGAGCGGGCUGUCUCGAUGGUAAUGUCAAUUUACCCUCCAGCCAGAACUUCUCAGAGCUUCCGGUUCCACGGAUUCACAGCAGCACUUGGUGAGAUCAGAUUUCCUAAUUCUUUAUACUCUAAUGGGUGAAAGAUGGCAUCUUGUUGUUUUAAUUUGUGCUUCUCUGUGUUAGGCCUGAAGCUGAACACGAGUUCACAUAUUUAUGGCGAGGCGUCCUCUCCCCAUAUUUAUUGUUUCUUAUCAUUUCUUCAUUCUUCCAUCGCCCGCUUGCUGUUCCCUUAUUGAUUUCGAGGAAUUAUUUAUGUAUCUGGGUAGUGAUACUUUAUUGGUUAUACGGGUUAUAAAUAUAUCCUCCCCGACCAAGGCUUGUAUUUUUCUCUUUGUUGAUGGUGUCUUCUGCUGAACAGAACUUUAAAUUUUCAUGCGUCUGCUGCAUCAGACGCUCCCUUCCAUUUUGUGGUGUCCACGUAAACCCGUCCGUUAGCUUCUCAGUUCCCUGUCCUCAUGUUCAGACUUUGACCCACUUGAGACUGGUUUUAGUUUAUGGUGCAAACUGGGUUUUUGUGUCCUGUAAUAGCAGUACUGUGGAUCUAAUGAAUUCACCCUUUCUUCACAGGGAACCCACGUAUCUCACGCCACCGCCAUGUGUGCUGACAGCCUUGUUCUGGCUCUCCCUCCUGCUGCAUGUCUCCAUCCCUGAACCGUAACUUGUUCCCUUUAGAGACCUGAGCUUUACAACUGUGCCGUGCCAAGUGCUGCUCAGAGCUCUGUUGACAUGGACCUCAAGAGACCACAACACCUCCUUCCAAGCUUCUGUCCCACCUACAGGGUCUUGACAUCCAGAAGGGAAGAUCUCAUUUGUCUUCAGGCAUAUCUUGACUAUUUUCGGACCACGGCUAUUCAAUAAUCUAAGAGAGAAAGAGAGAGUCAACUACACUGACUAAGCCAGUUAAGUGUAUAUAUGAGCCCUUUAAUUUUGACUGGCAACCAAGAGUGGGCUAAUGUCUCAGAGUCUUUUCAUGCUGAAUAUCAGGGGCACAGAAUUUUUAAAAGACAAAACCCAUGAGGAUCAGGGUGACUUUAAAGCAUUCAUUCUUGACAGAGCAUAAGCGAUUGUUUCAGACAAAAAUAAUGGCAACUAUUUUUGAUGUAUACCUUCUUCAUUUAUCCUAGUUGAUAUUGUUUGUAUAAAUGUUAUUUUAGUUACUAUAUCUGACCACGGUCAAGGUCAUGGAAAUCUCAAGUGUUGCCAAGGCAGAGGGGAGAAGAGGGCUGAGAACUAAGCAAACACAAAUGGAGUCAGAACAAGAUGGCCUUACCUUGGUCACUUCACUAUGAUCUAUUAAUUUUAUGAACUAGCUUGGACUAGAUUGAAAACUCAUUUAAUCUUUGUAUUAACUUAAAGAGAAUUUUCAUUAGCAGUGACUCUUUCCAUCCGUGGAGAUGGUUUAUCUGUUCCUAUAUUAAAGUCUUCCUUCAAGCCUUC